rnacentral:rRNA from 1 species
CUUAGAGUUUGAUCCUGGCUCAAGAUGACCUUUAGCUACAGGCUUAACACAUGCAAGUCGAGGGGCAGCAUGGUCUUAGCUUGCUAAGGCCGAUGGCGACCGGCGCACGGGUGAGUAACACGUAUCCAACCUGCCGUCUACUCUUGGACAGCCUUCUGAAAGGAAGAUUAAUACAAGAUGGCAUCAUGAGUCCGCAUGUUCACAUGAUUAAAGGUAUUCCGGUAGACGAUGGGGAUGCGUUCCAUUAGAUAGUAGGCGGGGUAACGGCCCACCUAGUCUUCGAUGGAUAGGGGUUCUGAGAGGAAGGUCCCCCACAUUGGAACUGAGACACGGUCCAAACUCCUACGGGAGGCAGCAGUGAGGAAUAUUGGUCAAUGGGCGAGAGCCUGAACCAGCCAAGUAGCGUGAAGGAUGACUGCCCUAUGGGUUGUAAACUUCUUUUAUAAAGGAAUAAAGUCGGGUAUGCAUACCCGUUUGCAUGUACUUUAUGAAUAAGGAUCGGCUAACUCCGUGCCAGCAGCCGCGGUAAUACGGAGGAUCCGAGCGUUAUCCGGAUUUAUUGGGUUUAAAGGGAGCGUAGAUGGAUGUUUAAGUCAGUUGUGAAAGUUUGCGGCUCAACCGUAAAAUUGCAGUUGAUACUGGAUAUCUUGAGUGCAGUUGAGGCAGGCGGAAUUCGUGGUGUAGCGGUGAAAUGCUUAGAUAUCACGAAGAACUCCGAUUGCGAAGGCAGCCUGCUAAGCUGCAACUGACAUUGAGGCUCGAAAGUGUGGGUAUCAAACAGGAUUAGAUACCCUGGUAGUCCACACGGUAAACGA